CGGGGUGUAGCGCAGCCUGGUAGCGCGUCUGUUUUGGGUACAGAAGGCCGUGAGUUCGAAUCUCGCCUCCCCGACCA
rnacentral:tRNA from 4 species